UGGGGAAUAUUGGACAAUGGGCGCAAGCCUGAUCCAGCCAUGCCGCGUGUGUGAAGAAGGCCUUCGGGUUGUAAAGCACUUUUGUCCGGAAAGAAAUCCUGUCGGCUAAUACCCGGCGGGGAUGACGGUACCGGAAGAAUAAGCACCGGCUAACUUCGUGCCAGCAGCCGCGGUAAUACGAAGGGUGCAAGCGUUACUCGGAAUUACUGGGCGUAAAGCGUGCGUAGGUGGUUUGUUAAGUCUGAUGUGAAAGCCCUGGGCUCAACCUGGGAACUGCAUUGGAUACUGGCUUACUAGAGUGCGGUAGAGGGUGGCGGAAUUCCCGGUGUAGCAGUGAAAUGCGUAGAUAUCGGGAGGAACAUCCGUGGCGAAGGCGGCCACCUGGACCAGCACUGACACUGAGGCACGAAAGCGUGGGGAGCAAAACAGGAUUAGAUACCCUGGUAGUCCACGCCCUAAAACGAUGCGAACUGGAUGUUGGGAGCAACUAGGCUCUCAGUAUCGAAGCUAACGCGUUAAGUUCGCCGCCUGGGAAGUACGGUCGCAAGACUGAAACUCAAAUGAAUUGAC
rnacentral:rRNA from 1 species